rnacentral:lncRNA from 1 species
GGCGCCAGGCGCUCCGGCCGCAAGGGAGCAGGGAGCCCUGCCAGCUGGGCCACCCGAGGGGCGUUGCGGGGCUCCGGGCGGGGUCGACCCGGGGGGCUCCGUCGGGCCCCACCAGCCUUGCGCCUUUUUCGCUCGGUCUCCUUGGCCUCCCGCUCCUGCGACGCCGCUUUCCUUUUCUCUUGCUCCCGAGCUCGGACCUCGGCCAGGGGCCCCGCCCGCCAGUUGGUCGCCUCCUGCAGCACCCUGGAGGCCCAGGGCCGGCGGGGCGGCGGCUGUGGGGAUCCCGGGCGCGGCCCACACCUGGGACAAUGAGCAGGAACCCAGGGAAUGUGACUUCACUGGACGCAGUAUAAAGAUCUUCAGAUGUCCUCCUGCCGGGGAUUGCAGGGAUCACAGAAAGACCAUCGAGGUCCAGGAGCUACCUGCAAGCGGAGAUCCCUCUGGACGCCCCGUGCCUCACCCAGCAAAGCCGGCUCACAACCCUGCGCUCUCAAACCUCUAAAAGGGCUUGAGGUGCCAAUAGGAAAGGAGGCCCGAGAUUGCCACGGCAUACGUGGGCCCCAAGGAGGGAGCCAGGAGUCACUGCCUGCUUGGGCUAAGGGUACCGCGUACGGAAAGGCGGCGGGGACGCGGCCCAGUUCCAGGAGAUGCGCCCAACGAAGAAGCGGAGGAACAGGGUCACGGGAUAGGGCAGACACCCGGCUGCUUUUUGUUUGCUAGACACCAGCGCCAGCCCCUGCCCGGCCCUCCCGGUCUCCUAAGGGUUGGGGGGGUGUCUUAGGCUCCACAGCGCCCCCGACCGCCCUCCUGCACUCCUCACCGUCUCCAUUGCAAGAGGCGCCCGGCUUGGUUUCCUCGCUUUAGGAAACUCUCUUGGGGCAGGCCCCGCCCCACAUCCGGUGCGGCGACGCCACUUCCGCCCACGUCAUGGCAGUCGCCAGACUGGGGCGGAAGGCAAGGAACCCACCCUUCCGGCGGUGGCGGGCCUCGGUAACCGCCCUCCCCCGGGUCCUCGCGGACCGCACGGAUCCGGCUGACGGCGAGGGUCAUGGGACGGAGCCGCUUGUAUUUAAAAUGUUCUUUUUUUAUUUGUCGUUUAAAAACAAACUUGGAAGAAGCAAAAUCCAAAACUUGCCCUUUGCCUCUCGCAACAUAAAUAUGUACAGUUCAGAAUGAUCGCUGAUACAAAACAUGCCAAGGACAGGGGCGCUGAGGGUGGAGGGAGAGAGGGCGCUUUAAAAAAGGGAACCAUUUCAUCCGUUGUUACGAAGGACCAACCUUGCUGUACAGGAUA